UCUCUCUCCUUCUGAUAUGUCAAAAUCCUCCGAUCCAACCAUUUUUUAUUCUUCGAACUGUUUUUAUAUUUCUGAAAAAUCUCACUUUCGUUAUCCGUCUACAAUUUCGACCAAGAAGCGUCUUCUCAGUGACAGGCUAGCAUGCAAAGACUCAUAUAACAAGUCGUUUGAAACAUGGUGGGUGGUAUUGUUGGGAGUAACAUGGCGGCGACUGAUGCGAGGAGGUUUCUAAGUUCGAAUUUUGGCAACAGUUUCAGCAGAAUCCACAGAUGGGAUUUCCACGAUCGGUCCCAGAUCGCAAUCCCUAGAGCUCAAUCUUCUUCAUCCUCCGACAAGAACCGCCGCGAAAAGAAGCCCAGGAACCGACCCGUCACCACAGCUACAAAGGAAGGCGGAGAGACGGCUGCGAAGAAACUCGACGCACCUCCUCCCCCGCAGACGCAGUCUCCGUCUCCGCCGCCGCUGAAGCUCGACGAUGUGAAUCCCGUGGGUUUGGGACGGCGGUCAAGGCAGCUCUUCGACGAGGUGUGGCGGAAAUUCUCCGGAUUAGGUCAGAUUUCGAGGACGACGAGACCCGAUGAGCAGGAUGCUCUCGACAGUCUUCUCAUCAGAGAAGGGCCUAUGUGCGAGUUCGCCGUCCCCGGCGCUCAAAACGUCACCGUUUUAGUCGUUGGAGCCACUAGCAGAAUCGGCCGUAUCGUCGUCCGUAAACUCAUGCUCCGUGGCUACACCGUCAAGGCGUUGGUGAGGAAAACAGAUGAGGAAGUGAUAAGUAUGUUGCCAAGAUCGGUAGAUAUUGUGGUCGGUGACGUGGGCGAACCGUCAACGCUUAAGUUUGCGGUGGAAAGCUGCAGCAAGAUCAUCUAUUGCGCCACUGCUCGGUCUACUAUCACUGCUGACCUCGUCCGGGUUGAUCAUUUGGGUGUUUAUAACCUCACCAAGGCUUUUCAGGAUUACAAUAACAGACUAGCGCAGCUGAGAGCUGGUAAAAGCAGCAAAAGCAAGCUUUUGAUUGCAAAGUUCAAGUCUGCUGAGGCGCUUGACGGUUGGGAAGUUCGUCAAGGGACUUACUUUCAGGACACAACUGCUUCUAAAUAUGAUGGUGGGAUGGAUGCUAAGUUCGAGUUCACCGAAUCUGAGAGAGCUGAGUUUUCAGGUUAUGUUUUCACCCGAGGAGGAUAUGUUGAGUUGUCUAAGAAACUCUCACUUCCACUAGGUUCCACUCUUGACAGGUAUGAAGGCUUAGUUCUUUCUGUUGGUGGGAACGGAAGAUCCUACGUUGUAAUCCUUGAAGCUGGUCCUUCAUCAGAUAUGUCUCUGAGCAAACUGUAUUUCGCUAGGAUUACUACCAAAGCUGGAUUUUGUCGAGUAAGAGUACCAUUUUCAGCUUUUCGUCCGGUUAAUCCAGAAGAUCCACCGCUAGAUCCGUUUCUCGUUCAUACAUUGACAAUACGUUUUGAGCCUAAAAGACAGAGACCAGUUGAUGGUGUUGCUGGUGCACAACAGGAUCUAAGAAGCUUUAGCCUUGUAUUCGAGUACAUCAAAGCUUUGCCUGCGGGUCAAGAAACCGACUUUAUAUUGGUUUCAUGUACUGGUUCUGGAGUAGAACCCAACAGAAGGGAGCAAGUGCUAAAAGCUAAGAGGGCUGGUGAAGAUUCAUUGAGAAGAUCAGGCCUAGGAUACACCAUUAUUCGUCCUGGUCCCUUGAAGGAGGAGCCAGGCGGUCAACGAGCUCUGAUAUUUGAUCAGGGAAACAGAAUAUCUCAGGUUAGUUUCAGUCACAACACAAGUCACUACGCUCUCUCCCGGUGAACUCACUCAACUCCCAAAUGGCGCAAUUUAUCUAUCAUUUUACAGGGCAUCAGUUGCGCGGAUGUGGCUGAUAUUUGUGUCAAGUCACUGCACGAUUCAACGGCGAGAAACAAAAGCUUCGAUGUUUGCCAUGAAUACGUGGCUGAGCAAGGAAUAGAGCUCUACGAGCUGGUGGCUCAUUUGCCAGACAAGGCGAACAACUAUCUGACUCCUGCUUUAUCUGUACUUGAGAAGAACACAUGAUACAAAGUUUCCCUCGCAAUCCAGAAAUGAAAAGGAAGAAUCCUUUUUCUGCUGUUGUAUUCAUCUCAACCUCUGAUAUACAUUACAAAUAUACAUACGUGUACUUGUAUAAUCUGUACAGACAAGAAUCUCUUCUUCCUUGGUAUCUAUCUCCCUCUGACAUUGUUGUCUUAUAUUCAUCUUUUGAGUUUGUGUAAUACAAGAAAAGGGUGCGAAAGUCUGUUUUUCUA